rnacentral:rRNA from 1 species
GAUGAACGCUGGCGGCGUGCCUAAUACAUGCAAGUCGAGCGAACAGAUGAGGAGCUUGCUCCUCUGACGUUAGCGGCGGACGGGUGAGUAACACGUGUAUAACCUACCUAUAAGACUGGGAUAACUUCGGGAAACCGGAGCUAAUACCGGAUAAUAUAUUGAACCGCAUGGUUCAAUAGUGAAAUACGGUUUUGCUGUCACUUAUAGAUGGAUCCGCGCCGCAUUAGCUAGUUGGUAAGGUAACGGCUUACCAAGGCAACGAUGCGUAGCCGACCUGAGAGGGUGAUCGGCCACACUGGAACUGAGACACGGUCCAGACUCCUACGGGAGGCAGCAGUAGGGAAUCUUCCGCAAUGGGCGAAAGCUUGACGGAGCAACGCCGCGUGAGUGAUGAAGGUCUUCGGAUCGUAAAACUCUGUUAUUAGGGAAGAACAAAUGUGUAAGUAACUAUGCACGUCUUGACGGUACCUAAUCAGAAAGCCACGGCUAACUACGUG